UGGGGAAUUUUGGACAAUGGGCGAAAGCCUGAUCCAGCAAUGCCGCGUGUGAGAAGAAGGCCUUCGGGUUGUAAAGCACUUUUGUCCGGAAAGAAAUCCUUGGCUCUAAGUACAGUCGGGGGAUGACGGUACCGGAAGAAUAAGCACCGGCUAACUACGUGCCAGCAGCCGCGGUAAUACGUAGGGUGCAAGCGUUAAUCGGAAUUACUGGGCAUAAAGCGUGCGCAGGCGGUUUGCUAGACCGAUGUGAAAUCCCCGGGCUCAACCUGGGAACUGCAUUGGUGACUGGCAGGCUAGAGUAUGGCAGAGGGGGGUAGAAUUCCACGUGUAGCAGUGAAAUGCGUAGAGAUGUGGAGGAAUACCGAUGGCGAAGGCAGCCCCCUGGGCCAAUACUGACGCUCAUGCACGAAAGCGUGGGGAGCAAACAGGAUUAGAUACCCUGGGUAGUCCACGCCCUAAACGAUGUCAACUAGUUGUUGGGGAUUCAUUUCCUUAGUAACGUAGCUAACGCGUGAAGUUGACCGCCUGGGGAGUACGGUCGCAAGAUUAAAACUCAAUGAAUUGACGGGGU
rnacentral:rRNA from 1 species